UUUUCAGCAGCCGCGGUAAGACGAACCGUGCGAACGUUGUUCGGAUUCACUGGGCUUAAAGGGCGCGUAGGCGGAUUCGCAAGUCCGGGGUGAAAUCUUUCGGCUCAACCGGAAAAGUGCCUUGGAUACUGCGAGUCUCGAGGGAGGUAGGGGCCGCGGGAACUUCCGGUGGAGCGGUGAAAUGCGUUGAUAUCGGAAGGAACGCCGGUGGCGAAAGCGCGCGGCUGGAUCUCCUCUGACGCUGAGGCGCGAAAGCUAGGGGAGCAAACGGGAUUAGAAACCCCCGUAGUCC
rnacentral:rRNA from 1 species